rnacentral:snoRNA from 1 species
UGCAGCUUUGUCGAAUUCGGUGCUUCCUCCCCAGUAGGCUGCUCUGGCCGAAACAGCUGCAACAGCGACCUCGUAGUUCAUGGGCCCCACGUUUCUUCACCAUAGAUCCUGGGGAUAAAUAUGUACUGCAGACAAAA